rnacentral:rRNA from 1 species
UACGUAGGUGGCGAGCGUUGUCCGGAUUUACUGGGCGUAAAGGGCGCGUAGGCGGCCUUCUAAGUCAGACGUGAAAUCCCUCGGCUUAACCGGGGAACUGCGUCUGAUACUGGAUGGCUAGAGGUUGGGAGAGGGAUGCGGAAUUCCAGGUGUAGCGGUGAAAUGCGUAGAUAUCUGGAGGAACACCGGUGGCGAAGGCGGCAUCCUGGACCACGACUGACGCUGAGUGAGCGAAAGCCAGGGGAGCAAACGGG